GGGUGGUAAUGCCGGAUGCUCCAGUUGGAUGCAUGUCCUUCUGGGAAAGAUUCAUCGGUAUGGGAUGGGGUCGCGUCCUAUCAGCUUGAUGGCGGGGUAACGGCCCACCAUGGCUUCGACGGGUAGCCGGCCUGAGAGGGCGACCGGCCACAUUGGGACUGAGAUACGGCCCAGACUCCUACGGGAGGCAGCAGUGGGGAAUAUUGCACAAUGGGCGCAAGCCUGAUGCAGCGACGCCGCGUGCGGGAUGACGGCCUUCGGGUUGUAAACCGCUUUUGACUGGGAGCAAGCCCUUCGGGGUGAGUGUACCUUUCGAAUAAGCACCGGCUAACUACGUGCCAGCAGCCGCGGUAAUACGUAGGGUGCAAGCGUUAUCCGGAAUUAUUGGGCGUAAAGGGCUCGUAGGCGGUUCGUCGCGUCCGGUGUGAAAGUCCAUCGCUUAACGGUGGAUCCGCGCCGGGUACGGGCGGGCUUGAGUGCGGUAGGGGAGACUGGAAUUCCCGGUGUAACGGUGGAAUGUGUAGAUAUCGGAA
rnacentral:rRNA from 1 species